UUGUUAACUGUUCGCACGCUGGUCUGCGUUACUGUAUCCUUGUUAACUGUGCUUUUGUCUGCAUUAUUUGUUAACUGUCAUAACUGUGCCUUUGUGUGGAUGGGAGACAUAAUGGGGCAGACACAAACCACACCCCAGUCCCUUAUGCUCUCCCACUUCUCAGACAUUAAGAAAAGGGCUCAUAAUCUGAGCACAGACAUAUGGAAAGGGAAAUUCCAAAUGUACUGCAUGUCAGAAUGGCCAAGCUUUGAUGUGGGAUGGCCCUGAGAUGGAACUUUCCACCUACCUAUUAUCUUACAGGUAAAGGCCGUGAUCUUCAGAGACAAACUGGAUGGCAACCCUGACCAGGUGCCUUACAUCCUGGCCUGGCAGGACAUGAUCGAGAAUCCCCCUCCUUGGCUAAAACUAUUUUUACCCCCCAAAGCAAGACCUCCCAAGAUUCUAGCCCUGUGGAAAGCGGAGAAGGAGACUGACUCUAAGACCAAAGAGGCCCUUUAUCUGGUCUUGCAGGAUUCCUCCCCAGAAGACCUGAUUCUCCCACCGCCCUACCUGAUGCCCCCUCACCCUUCUGCCCCCCCCCCCCAUCAUAGGUACGGGGGCUGCAGAAGGGGCGCCACCCCUCCCAGAUGAGGGAAUUUCUGUGUGCGGGCCAGCAGCGGGGACACGGAGAGGGACCCACCGAGGGGCCUCACCCCCUAACGCAGGGCUGGCUGACUCCACCACCCUUCCCUCUGCACCAUGGGACUCCCCUGACGAGACUGGUGGACAGCUAAUGUUAUAUUGGCUGUUCUCCACCAGUGAUUUAUAUAAUUAGAAAACCCAAAAUGCAAAGUUCUCUGAUAGUCCAAAAGAUCUAAUAGGGCUUUUAGAUACUGUUCUUUUUACCCACCAGCCUACUUGGGAUGACUGCCAACAGUUCUUGGAGGUUCUCUUCACCACCGAAGAGAGGAAACGAAUUCAGGUGGCAGCCCAGAAGUCUGUCCUGGGAGAGGACAGACAGCUGACUCAAAACCCAGACCUCAUAAACGCUGCCUUCCCCUUAUCUUGCCAUACCUGGGACCACAACUCAGCUGAAGACCACAGUUUCUCUAUCCAUCAUCUUUCAAUGGACACCGAGGCUCCUUCCAGAGUCUGGCUACUGUGGACAUCGCUGCGAGAAACAUCGGGGUGCAGGUGUCCCGGCGUUUCACUGCAUCUGUACCUUUGGGGUGAAUCCUUUCACUGCCUGUGCCAUUGGCUUCCACCGGAUGAUCGUCCUACAUUUUGGGGCCCACAACCGACACCACAAGCAUCUCCAGUAUCUCUGUGCCUCACUUGCCUUAUAUAUAAAAUGGAGAUAAUGGUAGCACUUAUGUUGUAAAGUUCUUCUAAGAGAGUUAACAGUUAUAAAGCAUUUAGAACAGCUCCUAGCACCUAGUGAGUACUUGAAGCUGUUGUCACUUUUAUUUUAAUUAUUUCUAUAUCCAGAGAAAAUACAUAUUAAAAUACAUCUGCUUAAGACUGAGUAUGGACAGAUGGCUAGAAAGGAGCCAAAAAUGAACAAAGAAUUAGUCAAGUGUUUUGCUCUCCAAAACUCCCAAUUAUUUCCUGUAUAAUAAUCAAAAAAGGCAUUGCUUUGGGGACAUCAACUAAAUAUUUCUUUUCCUAGGAGUGUGACGGUUAAUUGCAGGAGUCAACUUGACAAAGUUAAAAGGUGCCUGCAUAUCUGGUAAAACAUUAUUUCUGGGUGUGUCUGUACAGAGUGUUUCUGGAAAAGAUUAACAUUUGAACUGAUAGACUGAGUAGUAAACUACUAACUGAUAGACUGAGGGUAAACUUCAUCCAAUUGAAAAGGUAGAGGAAGGCCAAAUUUGCUCUCUGUGCUUGAGCUGGGAUAUCUUUAUCUUCUGCCCCCAUUAGCUCUCCUGGUUUUUGGACCUUCAGAUUGGGACCAGCAUUUAUAUUAUUGACACCCUGGUUCCUAGGCCUUUCAAUUCAAACUGAAUUAUGACCCCAGUUGUUCUAGUUCUCCAACUUGCAUACAGCAGAUAGUGGCACUUCUCAGCCUCCAUAAUCACAUGAAACAACUCCUAUAAUAAAUGUCCAGGUAGAUAGAUGGAUAUGUAGAUAGAUGAUUGAAAGAUAUAUAUAUAUAUAUAUAUAUAUAUAUAUAGAGAGAGAGAGAGAGAGAGAGAGAGAUGCUAUUGAGUCAGUUUUUCUGGAGAAAUUCUGGAAUUUCCAGAAUUCCUUUUCUGGAAAGGCAAGGAAUAAACUUGCCUUUCUCAGAAGAUAUCAGCCAAAAUUCCAAUUAUCCUCAUAUGGCUUUUUAAUCCCAAGGCCCCUCAUCUCCACCCAGAAAUUUAUCUUUUCUACAGUAUCUUCUCUCUUUUCCCCAGACAAAUCCUCCUCAUUCUUUUAAGCCCAAACUCCCACCUGGGGCAUGAUUGCCUUCUCGGUUAUUGAAGUCUAUCCUAACCCUUCCUCCCUGUGAAAAUCUUUAAUACACCACAACACAUAAUUCAGCACACAAAGACUGAUAAUCUAUCAUUUUUCAUACACAUAAUAUUAUCUUACUAGACUGUAAGUUUAAGAGGAGAAUCAGAAAUUUAGCAACAGAUUGACUCCAAAGUCCAUUCUCUUGAUUGUACUUAUUAAUGGGUUUAAAUCUGUAUUCCUUACAUAAUUAUAAACCAUUUAAAGUCAAAACAUCUUAGACAUUAUAAUACCCCUGCUAGGCCAUUUAAGUAACAUAACAUAACAUAACAUAACAUAACAUAACAUAACAUAACAACAGUGGAAGUAUAGUUUAUCUGCUGUAUUUGGCGGAAAUUAAAUGUGUUUUAUAAUAUAUACAGGCUGAUAUUUUCCUAUUAGAUAGUUAUGUUUAUAGAAAAGUAAUGAAAAAGAGAAAAUUGAGGGGAAAAGCCCAAAAGGAAAGUUUCAGAGAAAUAAAAUUAUUUAGACUAAAGAAAGGAAGUCAGGUGGAUGAAAUAAAUGUUAUAGUUGAUGAAAACCUGAGCUUAAAUUUCUGAGAAAAGAGCCAGAUGAUAUAUAAGAAAAAAUUCUAUCAGAGUGUAAAUUUGUAGAACAUAAAAACCAACAGCCAAACAAAGAUUCCCCUCUUUGAAAACUACUGAAGAGAAUAACUGUCUAUCUGAACAAGAUUAUUUCCUGUUCUGCCUAAAAGCCUGGGGAUGGGUAAGAAAGUCUAUUUCAUAAAUUGUGAAAUCUGCUUAAAAAAAUAUAUAUUAAACAUGUUCGGUUUAAAAAAGAAAAACUAUGAUCUGUAAUUUUAUUCCUGCUGCUUUUCCUCAGAGAGUGAUGAUUACAAACAAUUCUUUAACCUUUUAAAUUAUCAGAAAAUGGGCAGCUUAAUUACACAUCAUGAGGUAGAGUACAGUGGGAAAGCGGCUACAGUGGUUGGAAUUCAGGUACAAGGGCAACAGAGACAUUGUAAAGAAAAAAAAUACUCCUCAAACUAAGUAAAUAAACCAAAGAAAAGACAAUCAGACAACUGGAAAAAGAUAAUAUCCAUCUAUAUUUGCCUAAUUUGAUAUUUCAAUUAAUAAACUUAGAAAAAGACUCAAAAUAUCUCAAAAUCUGUCAACUAAAGGAGUUUUUUUUUGGUUUGGGGUUUGUUUUUUGUUUUUUGUUUUUUAUUUUUGUCAACUAAAUUUUGAAUAGAUUAAAUCAUGCUUCAUUCCACUAGAAUGCAAAUGCUUUGAACAGAGACAUUGUCAUGUUAAAUGUUUUAUCUUUAUCCCCCAGCACAGCCCUUGGAACCUUUGUCAAAACUAAAGUGAAUUCAUAUGUAUGGCAGCCACAUCCAACCUGCACCCAGAGAAGACUGGUGGAAGCCUCAGUGCAGUGUUACAGAGGCCACCAAAACCACAAUCUAAAAUUCAGCCUUUUACUCAUUGGACGGCCCUUGAAUCUGUAUCAACCACGGCAAGAGGGGCGUUCACUUAUAUUAUGGCAAGUCCAUUAUGCACGAAGCACCGCCCUAGGUACUAGGGGUACAGGGUGCACACGUGGCCGGGCUGGCAGCUCUCUCCUUAACCUGCUUCUAUUUUCUCAGUGAAAUAGAAAGCAGACUCAUCAGCUAAGGGAACAAAGGAGAGAAAGUAUUGAAGGUUUGAGGAGAGAGGAGAAAGCAUGAAACAGGCAUUUGGGGGAGUGGGGGAGUCAGUGCGAGGAAGUGAAGCCCAGCCCCACGCGGUGCCCAGGGCCCCCAGAGUCGUGAGCUAAGGAGAAAUUACUGAGGCCCCUGGGUGCUUGCCUCCAACCACAUGCAGCUGUUCAGGGCAGCACAGAGACCAGCCGGAUUGAACCAGAAGUUUGGCUUCACCAGACAAGCACUGCAGUUGGAGAGGAGAAGUCCAUGAAAAACAAAGUGCCUCUUGAAUAGGAACAGAUCACUCUAAAUUGUGUAAAUCCCCUCAACAAUAAAAAUGUAUUGAAAUCAA